GUGCUCACUUCACCAGCACACAGUCUAAAAGUGGAAUGAUACAGAGAUGAUUGCAUGGCCCCUGCACAAGGGUGACACACAAAUUUGUGUAGCAUUCCAUAUUUUU
ensembl:snRNA U6 U6 spliceosomal RNA